GUACUUACUUUUACAGCCCAUAGACAAAAACUAGAAUGACACAGAAAGAUUAGCAUGGCCUCUGCUCAAGGAUGACAUGCAAAUGGGUGAAGCGUUCCAUACUUUC
ensembl:snRNA U6 U6 spliceosomal RNA